rnacentral:sRNA from 1 species
AAAGAUGCACCACGCCGGAACCGAAGCU